rnacentral:rRNA from 1 species
CCCUUCCUGCAUUUGGCAGAGAUUGACAGAUUGAGAGCUCUUUCUUGAUUCGGUGGAUGGUGGUGCAUGGCCGUUCUUAGUUGGUGGAGCGAUUUGUCUGGUUAAUUCCAAUAACGAACGAGACUCUAGCCUAUUAAAUAGGUGCGUGGUUCUCUGCACCUUGCACCCUUCUUAGAGGGACAAGCGGCUCCUAGCCGCACGAAACAGAGCAAUAUCAGGUCUGUGAUGCCCUUAGAUGUCCGGG